rnacentral:rRNA from 1 species
UACGGAGGGGGUUAGCGUUGUUCGGAAUGACUGGGCGUAAAGCGCGCGUAGGCGGAUCGCUAAGUCAGGGGUGAAAUCCCAGGGCUCAACCCUGGAACUGCCUUUGAUACUGACAAUCUGGAGAUCGGGAGAGGUGAGUGGAAUUCCGAGUGUAGAGGUGAAAUUCGUAGAUAUUCGGAGGAACACCAGAAGCGAAGGCGGCUCACUGGCCCGAUACUGACGCUGAGGCGCGAAAGCGUGGGGAGCAAACAGG